GGAAUAUUGGUCAAUGGGCGAGAGCCUGAACCAGCCAAGUAGCGUGAAGGAUGACUGCCCUAUGGGUUGUAAACUUCUUUUGUACGGGAAUAACCUGGCCCACGUGUGGGCUACUGCAUAUACCGUACGAAUAAGCAUCGGCUAAUUCCGUGCCAGCAGCCGCGGUAAUACGGAAGAUGCGAGCGGUAUCCGGAUUUAUUGGGUUUAAAGGGAGCGUAGGCGGAUUGUUAAGUCAGCGGUCAAAUGUCGGUGCCCAACAUCGUCCUUCCGUUGAAACUGGCAGUCUUGAAUGCACACAGGGAAGGUGGAAUUCGUCGUGUAGCGGUGAAAUGCUUAGAUAUGACGAGGAACUCCGAUCGCGAAGGCAUCCUUCUGGAGUGCGAUUGACGCUGAGGCUCGAAAGCGCGGGUAUCAAACA
rnacentral:rRNA from 1 species